rnacentral:lncRNA from 1 species
CUGGGUAUUCCAGGAGAGCGCAUGCGCAGACGCGUGGCCACAGACUGCCGGUCAGUGUCAGUAGGCGGCGGGUUAGUGUCCGCAGGCUCCGACUCGGCCGCCGACACCAAUAAGCUACAAGGACGAGCUUUACCACUGCCUGUACUACUGCUACCUGCGCGACUUCCCAGCCUGCGGCGUAGGGCGCAGCAAGGGCCUGACGCUGAGCGAGUAGGCGCUGCGCACCAAGCGGCUGUGGCCCGGAGGGCACUGUCGGGCAGAAGCUCCUCAGUGGCCACCACAAGCCCGCUAGCUCCGGCUACAGCCCUUGCCGCACACUCGCGUCACCUGAGCCUGUGUAGGUCAGACAAGGGCAGCAUGUCUGAAGACUGCGGGC